UACGGAGGGAGCUAGCGUUAUUCGGAAUUACUGGGCGUAAAGCGCACGUAGGCGGCUUUGUAAGUAAGAGGUGAAAGCCCAGAGCUCAACUCUGGAAUUGCCUUUUAGACUGCAUCGCUUGAAUCAUGGAGAGGUCAGUGGAAUUCCGAGUGUAGAGGUGAAAUUCGUAGAUAUUCGGAAGAACACCAGUGGCGAAGGCGACUCGCUGGACAAGUAUUGACGCUGAGGUGCGAAAGCGUGG
rnacentral:rRNA from 1 species